UCGAUGCAGAUGAAGAGACAUGUUUAUGGGUAAUUUGCGUCUGAGGCAUUUCAGUGAUGUCACACUCUUUUUCACCUUGGAGAUCUGAUGCAUCCC